ACGUGCGGAGGCUAACACAUGGCAGUCGAGCGCGCCUUCGGGUGAGCGGCGGACGGGUUAGUAACGCGUGGGAACGUGCCCUUCUCUACGGAAUAGCCUCUGGAAACGGAGAGUAAUACCGUAUACGCCCUUUGGGGGAAAGAUUAUCGGAGAAGGAUCGGCCCGCGUUAGAUUAGGUAGUUGGUGGGGUAACGGCCUACCAAGCCUACGAUCUAUAGCUGGUUUUAGAGGAUGAUCAGCAACACUGGGACUGAGACACGGCCCAGACUCCUACGGGAGGCAGCAGUGGGGAAUCUUAGACAAUGGGGGCAAACCUGAUCUAGCCAUGCCGCGUGAGUGAUGAAGGCCUUAGGGUCGUAAAGCUCUUUCGCCUGUGAUGAUAAUGACAGUAGCAGGUAAAGAAACCCCGGCUAACUCCGUGCCAGCAGCCGCGGUAAUACGGAGGGGGUUAGCGUUGUUCGGAAUUACUGGGCGUAAAGCGCGCGUAGGCGGAUUAGAAAGUUGGGGGUGAAAUCCCGGGGCUCAAACCCGGAA
rnacentral:rRNA from 1 species